UUCGACAAAAGCAUAUAAGUAGCAUCUUGAUCCAGACUCUCAAGUGCUUGAAUCCUUCUGUUGGCUUGCUCUAAUUGAUCGUUCAAACGGAUACAAGCUCUUCCAGACUCUUCUGUUCACAACUGCUCACGGGCUAAAGUAUCCUUGUACCUAUGGAUGGUGUUCUCAAGCUCAUGAGUACGGAUCUCGGAGAUUAACCUGGCUUCUCUCUCCAUCUCAAGGGUUCUCUUUGUAGUUUUGUUCAGCUCUUGAGUCUUGAGUAUAACUUGAUCUAACUCUUGGUUCUUAGUCUUGAACACAAAUUCGGUACCCUUGAGUGCAUGACCAAACUUUUCUCUUCUUUC
rnacentral:lncRNA from 1 species